GAGGAUGUGGCUCAGUGGAAAGGCUUGUGCCUUGUAUGCACAAGAUCCUGGGUUCAACCCCCAGCACCACA
rnacentral:tRNA from 1 species